CGGGAUGAACGCUAGCGACAGGCCUAACACAUGCAAGUCGAGGGGCAGCGACAAGGAGCAAUCUGAGGUGGCGACCGGCGCACGGGUGAGUAACACGUAUGCAACCUGCCUGUAAGCGGGGAAUAACCCGUUGAAAGACGGACUAAUACCGCAUAAUACUAAAUUACUGCAUGGUAAUUUAUUUAAACAUUUAUGGCUUACAGAUGGGCAUGCGCAUGAUUAGCUAGUUGGAGAGGUAACGGCUCCCCAAGGCAACGAUCAUUAGGGGUUCUGAGAGGAAGGUCCCCCACACUGGUACUGAGACACGGACCAGACUCCUACGGGAGGCAGCAGUGAGGAAUAUUGGUCAAUGGACGAGAGUCUGAACCAGCCAAGUCGCGUGCAGGAAGAAUGUCCCUAUGGAUUGUAAACUGCUUUUGCAGGGGAAUAAAGUGCAUCACGUGUGAUGUUUUGUAUGUACUCUGCGAAUAAGGAUCGGCUAACUCCGUGCCAGCCGCGGC
rnacentral:rRNA from 1 species